AUUGAACGCUGGCGGCAUGCCUUACACAUGCAAGUCGAACGGCAGCGGACCUUCGGGUGCCGGCGAGUGGCGAACGGGUGAGUAAUAUAUCGGAACGUACCUUUCAGUGGGGGAUAACGUAGCGAAAGUUACGCUAAUACCGCAUAUUCUGUGAGCAGGAAAGCAGGGGAUCGCAAGACCUUGCGCUGAUUGAGCGGCCGAUAUCAGAUUAGCUAGUUGGUGAGGUAAAGGCUCACCAAGGCGACGAUCUGUAGCGGGUCUGAGAGGAUGAUCCGCACACUGGAACUGAGACACGGUCCAGACUCCUACGGGAGGCAGCAGUGGGGAAUUUUGGACAAUGGGCGCAAGCCUGAUCCAGCCAUGCCGCGUGAGUGAAGAAGGCCUCGGUUGUAAG
rnacentral:rRNA from 1 species